UACGGGGGGGGCAAGCGUUGUUCGGAAUUACUGGGCGUAAAGCGUGCGUAGGCGGCCCGCUAAGUCGAACGUGAAAUCCCCGAGCUCAACUCGGGAACUGCGUCCGAUACUGGUGGGCUUGAAUCCGGGAGAGGGAUGCGGAAUUCCAGGUGUAGCGGUGAAAUUCGUAGAUAUCGGGAGGAACACCAGUGGCGAAGGCGGCGACCUGGACGGACAUUGACGCUGAGACGCGAAAGCGUGGGGAGCAAACAGG
rnacentral:rRNA from 1 species